GUAAUCCUUCAGGCAGGUGACUGCUGAUUUUUUAGGCACAGGCACAAUGAUGGAGGUUUUGAGGCUAACAGGGACUGUGGCAAGCUGCAGGGACAGGUUGAAAAUGUCCAGAAAACUCCUGCCAGUUGGUCGGCACAUGAUUUCAGAGUGCGACUCGACACCCUAGCUGGUCCUUCAGCAUUGUUGGUGCUGACUCUCUUCAUGGAAGAGCUCACUUGGUGCAGCUGCAGGACCAGAGACUGAUGCUGUUCCUCCAGUCGGGGUAGAUGAACACUCUCUCUGCUGCCAGUAUGGAGCAGCAGAAGUACAAGAAUUUCCCUACAGUGUAAUGCAAUCCAAUACAACAACACAAGAAAGUGCUCAUAACUCUCCCAGGAAUGUGGAGAGCAUCCACAAGAAGAGACACAUCAGGCUACACUAGAUUUGUGU
ensembl:lncRNA